rnacentral:rRNA from 1 species
CCAAUAGCGUAUAUUAAAGUUGUUGCAGUUAAAAAGCUCGUAGUUGAAUUUCGAGACCGGUUUACUGGUCGUGCUUUUGUACGUACUGGUAUUAUUGGUUUCUCCUUUCUGACGAAUCAUAAUGCCAUUAAUUUGGUGUUUUGGGGAAUCAGGACUGUUACUUUGAAAAAAUUAGAGUGUUUAAAGCAGGCUCACGCUUGAAUACAUUAGCAUGGAAUAACGGAAUAGGACGUUUGAUUUUAUUUUGUUGGUUUCUAGGAUCGACGUAAUGAUUAAUAGGGAUAGUUGGGGGCAUUAGUAUUCAAUUGUCAGAGGUGAAAUUCUUGGUUUUAUUGAAGACUAACUACUGCGAAAGCAUUUGCCAAGGAUGUUUUCAUUAAUCAAGAACGAAAGUUAGGGGAUCGAAGACGAUCAGAUACCGUCGUAGUCUUAACCAUAAACUAUGCCGACUAGGGAUCGGAUGAUGUUAAUUUUUUAAUGACUCAUUCGGCGCCUUACG